AAGUCGUAACAAGGUAACCGUAGGUGAACCUGCGGUUGGAUCAUUAAUAAUUACACUUGUUGUAAUGAUAAUGCAAUUUGUCGUUGGAGUAGUGCGAUGAGAGGUAGUAAUUGUGGUUAAUUUCGCAGUAACAGUGACCUUGAGUGCUAUAACAACAAGCUUUUGUCUUUGUGGUUGAAGUUUACCACGUCAAGUGGGAAGCUUUAGUCUAUCAUGACUACUAUUUUGAUGUCCCAGUAGUUGUGGUGCUUUUUUGCCAAAGACAAUUGACGAGUACCAUUUUUAUAAACUUGACUGAUUGAAAAAAGAGUAUAACUUUAGACAACGGAUCUCUAGGCUCUC
rnacentral:misc_RNA from 1 species